rnacentral:tRNA from 1 species
CAGGGCGUAGUUCAGAUGGUUAGAAUACAAGGCUGGGGGUCUUGUGGUCGUGGGUUCGAGUCCCACCGCCCUGA